CAUAGUUCAGUCGGUAGAACGGCGGACUGUUAAUCCGUAUGUCACUGGUUCGAGUCCAGUUGAGGA
rnacentral:tRNA from 1 species